AUUGAACGCUGGCGGCAGGCCUAACACAUGCAAGUCGAGCGGCAGCGACUUAACUGAACCUUCGGGGAACGUUAAGGGCGGCGAGCGGCGGACGGGUGAGUAAUGCCUGGGAAUAUGCCCUGAUGUGGGGGAUAACUAUUGGAAACGAUGGCUAAUACCGCAUAAUCUCUUCGGAGCAAAGAGGGGGACCUUCGGGCCUCUCGCGUCAGGAUUAGCCCAGGUGGGAUUAGCUUGUUGGUGAGGUAAUGGCUCACCAAGGCAACGAUCCCUAGCUGGUCUGAGAGGAUGAUCAGCCACACUGGAACUGAGACACGGUCCAGACUCCUACGGGAGGCAGCAGUGGGGAAUAUUGCACAAUGGGGGAAACCCUGAUGCAGCCAUGCCGCGUGUGUGAAGAAGGCCUUCGGGUUGUAAAGCACUUUCAGUAGGGAGGAAGGUAGUGCAGUUAACACCUGCAUUAUUUGACGUUACCUACAGAAGAAGCACCGGCUAACUCCGUGCCAGCAGCCGCGGUAAUACGGAGGGUGCGAGCGUUAAUCGGAAUUACUGGGCGUAAAGCGCAUGCAGGCGGCCUGUUAAGUCAGAUGUGAAAGCCCGGGGCUUAACCUCGGAAUUGCAUUUGAAACUGGCAGGCUAGAGUCUUGUAGAGGGGGGUAGAAUUUCAGGUGUAACGGUGAAAUGCGUAGAGAUCUGAAGGAAUACCAGUGGCGAAGGCGGCCCCCUGGACAAAGACUGACGCUCAGAUGCGAAAGCGUGGGGAGCAAACAGG
rnacentral:rRNA from 1 species